CUAAUUUAUAACACCUGUACUUUGUCAUGAUUUUUAUUGUAUGUUAAAUUGUGUUUUUCCUUUACUUAGGGUGUUCUCUCUUAGCUUUCUUAACUAAGUGGAUUCAUUGUAUAUGAGACGAUUUAAUGAAGUUUGUCCAAAGACCAAUCUGGGCCUCCUUUGUUCCUGUUUUCAACAGAAUUAGGAGAAAAUCGAUCAGAACACUCAAGGUUCAUCUUCAGACCAAAACUAGUUGUCAGUAGAGACUGAAUUUUAAAAGGAAGCCCUCCUUAGGGUCCUCCAGAAUUCUUCUGUGGGCUAAAAUCACAGCAGAUGAAACAGAUGGCAUUUUUUUUUUUUUAGUGUUCAACUGCUUGUAAGCUUCUUUUGUCUUUGAUUAACAUCGUCAAAUAUGGCUUUUGUAGUCUUGAAGGA
rnacentral:lncRNA from 1 species